rnacentral:rRNA from 1 species
UGGCGAACGGGGUGAGUAAUACAUCGGAACGUGUCCGCUCGUGGGGGACAACCAGCCGAAAGGUUGGCUAAUACCGCAUGAGUUCUACGGAAGAAAGAGGGGGACCCGCAAGGGCCUCUCGCGAGCGGAGCGGCCGAUGACUGAUUAGCCGGUUGGUGAGGUAACGGCUCACCAAAGCAACGAUCAGUAGCUGGUCUGAGAGGACGACCAGCCACACUGGGACUGAGACACGGCCCAGACUCCUACGGAAGGCAGCAG